rnacentral:rRNA from 1 species
AUGCCUACGGGAGGCAGCAGUGGGGAAUAUUGCGCAAUGGGCGAAAGCCUGACGCAGCGGCGCCGCGUGAAGGAAGAAGGCUUUCGGGUUGUAAACUUCUUUUGUCAGGGACGAAGCAAGUGACGGUACCUGACGAAUAAGCCACGGCUAACUACGUGCCAGCAGCCGCGGUAAUACGUAGGUGGCAAGCGUUAUCCGGAUUUACUGGGUGUAAAGGGAGCGUAGGCGGCGCGUUAAGUCUGAUGUGAAAACCCGAGGCUCAACCACGGGAGUGCAUUGGAAACUGGCGGGCUGGAGUGCCGGAG